GUUUUAGAUGGCCAUGCGUACCAUUAGUUAGUUGGUAAGGUAACGGCUUACCAAGGCGAUGAUGGUUAGGGGUCCUGAGAGGGUAAACCCCCACACUGGUACUGAGACACGGACCAGACUUCUACGGAAGGCAGCAGUGAGGAAUAUUGGUCAAUGGGCGCAAGCCUGAACCAGCCAUGCCGCGCGCAGGAAGACGGCCCUACGGGUUGUAAACUGCUUUUCUAUGGGAAGAAUUCCUACCUAUAUAGGUGGGUUGACGGUACCACAGGAAUAAGCAUCGGCUAACUCCGUGCCAGCAGCCGCGGUAAUACGGAGGAUGCAAGCGUUAUCCGGAUUUAUUGGGUUUAAAGGGUGCGCAGGCGGUGGAACAAGUCAGUGGUGAAAGCCCGGGGCUUAACUUCGGGAUUGCCAUUGAAACUGUUUCACUUGAGUGUAGUUGAGGACGGCGGAAUGAGUUGUGUAGCGGUGAAAUGCAUAGAUAUAACUCAGAACACCAAUUGCGAAGGCCAGCUGUCUAGACUACAACUGACGCUGAGGCACGAAAGCGUGGGUAGCGAACAGGAUUAGAUACCCUGGUAGUCCACGCUGUAAACGAUGAUCACUCGUUGUUGGCUACUUAGUAGUCAGUGACUAAGGGAAACCGAUAAGUGAUCCACCUGGGGAGUACGUCGGCAACGAUGAAACUCAAAGGAAUUGACGGGGGCCCGCACAAGCGGAGGAACAUGUGGUUUAAUUCGAUGAUACGCGAGGAACCUUACCUGGGCUUAAAUGCUGGCUGCAUUCACGCGAAAGCGUGAUUUCCUACGGGACCGCCAGCAAGGUGCUGCAUGGUUGUCGUCAGCUCGUGCCGUGAGGUGUCGGGUUAAGUCCCAUAACGAGCGCAACCCCUAUCGUUAGUUGCCAGCAUGUAAUGGUGGGGACUCUAACGAGACUGCCGGUGUAAACCGGAGGAAGGUGGGGAUGACGUCAAAUCAGCACGGCCCUUACGUCCAGGGCUACACACGUGUUACAAUGGCCGGUACAAAGAGCAGCCACCUGGCGACAGGGUGCUAAUCUCUAAAACCGGUCUCAGUUCGGAUCGAAGUCUGCAAUUCGACUUCGUGAAGAUGGAUUCGCUAGUAAUCGCGCAUCAGCCAUG
rnacentral:rRNA from 1 species